AACGUAGGUGGCAAGCGUUAUCCGGAUUUACUGGGCGUAAAGCGUGUGCAGGCGGGUGGACAAGUGGUGUAUGAAAUCGCCCAGGCUAAACCUGGCGGGGUUAUGCCAGACUGUCCGUCUGGAGUGCGAGAGAGGGCGUGGAAUUCCGGGUGUAGUGGUGAAAUGCGUAGAGAUCGGAGGAACCCCAGAGGCGAAGGCGGCGCCCUGGCUCGAGCAACUGACGCUCAGACAGACAGCAUGGGGAGCAA
rnacentral:rRNA from 1 species